rnacentral:rRNA from 1 species
CCUACGGGAGGCAGCAGUGAGGAAUAUUGGUCAAUGGGCGGGAGCCUGAACCAGCCAAGUAGCGUGCGGGAUGAAGGCCCUACGGGUCGUAAACCGCUUUUGCACGGGGAUAACACCCUCCACUUGUGGAGGUCUGCAGGUACCGUGCGAAUAAGGGCCGGCUAAUUCCGUGCCAGCAGCCGCGGUAAUACGGAAGGCCCGAGCGUUAUCCGGAUUUAUUGGGCUUAACGGGAGCGUAGGCGGGCGUUAAAGUCAGCGGUAAAAUCGCGCGGCUCAACCGCGCCCCGCAGUUGAAACUGGGAGCCUUGAGUACACGAGAGGCAGGCGGAAUUCGUGGUGUAGCGGUGAAAUGCAUAGAGAUCACGAGGAACCCCGAUUGCGAAGGCAGCCUGCCGGGGUGCGACUGACGCUGAGGCUCGAAGGUGCGGGUAUCAAACAGGAUUAGAUACCCGUGUAGUC